rnacentral:antisense_RNA from 1 species
CCGCCCCUAGCGGGCUCUCCCGGACCCCCGGCCCGCGCUAGUCUUUGCCAGGAUCCCGCGCAAAGGAUCAAGUCCCAGCUUCCCUUUCCCCACCGAGAGUCUCCAGCGCCAACCGCGGGCCGUCGGGCGGGUCCCUGACCCGCAGUUACUCAGCUACCUCUCUGGUGGAGGAGGUGUCAGCGACUUGAGAAUGAGUGCGCCAAAGAAGACAGAGCCACGCCUGAGCCUCCUUCAACAAAGCCUGCACUUCCUGUUCUCUUCUCAAGCGUGCUGUCAGCAGAUCUUGACUGAAACCUCUGUGCCCUGCCCUGUCCUUGGCACCAGACGCAGAGGAAAGGAUCAGGCCCAGUCCCUCCUCUGACUGACAGUGCUAAACCAGCUACCUGUUCUGAGCAAGCCCUUUGAAGACUGGGAACACGAAUUUGCCCAACAGCUGCCUGGCUUAAGGGUUAGGCCGUUGAUAUAAAAAUACAUGGCUAACGUAACCUACUACC